AAAACAUGUCUUUUUGAAAAUAAUAUAAAGUCUAAUCUGCCCACUGAUUGAUAAUUAAAGGGCUGCAGUAUUUUGACUGUACAAAGGUAGCAUAAUCAUUAGUCAUUUAAUUGAUGACUUGUAUGAAAGAUUGGAUGAAAUAUAAACUGUUUCUUAAUUAAAUAUAGAAUUUAAUUUUUUUAUUAAAAAGUUAAAAUAAUUUAAAAAGACGAGAAGACCCUAUAGAGUUUAAUAAAUAAAAAAAAUUGAGAUUAUUUAUAAAUAUUAAAAUUAAAAUUUAAUUAUUUAUUUUGUUGGGGUGACAAAAAAAUUUAUUUAACUUUUUUAAAAGUAAAACAUCAAUAAGUGGGUUAUUGAUCCAGUUAUACUGAUUAUAAGAAAAAAUUACCUUAGGGAUAACAGCGUAAUUUUUUUUUUUAGUUCAAAUAAGAAAAAGAGUUUGCGACCUCGAUGUUGGAUUAAGAUAAAAUUUAAAUGUAGAAGUU
rnacentral:rRNA from 1 species